GCCAAAUUAGCCCAGCCUACCCAACACAACAAAAACGUAUCUCAAACAAACUAAACCAUUCGACACAUGAAGUAUAUGCGAUAGAACCACGCCCUAAGCGCGAUAGCAAACUGUACCACAAGGGAACAAUGAAAGAUUAACUAAAAUUUAAGCACAUUACAGCAGGAAUGCCAUCCCGUACCUUCUGCAUCAUGGUUUAGCAAGCAAACUGCUGAAAAAGAGACCUGAAUCUGCCACCCCGAAACCAGACGAGCUACCUAAAAGCAAUUAUUAAGAAUGAACCCAGCCCUGUUGCAAAAGAGCGGGACGACUCUUAGGUAGAGGCGAAAUACCAACCGAGCCUGGUGAUAGCUGGUUACUCGCUAAAUGAACCUCAGUUCAACUCUAGUAACAACAAACAACUUCAACCGUACACUAGAAGAUAUACAAUAAGGGUACAGCUUUAUUGUACUUGGAGCCAACCAAAACUAGUGGGACACCCAAAUCAAUUAAUCAGUGGGCCUUUAAGCCGCCAACAACAAUUAAUGCGUCAAAGCAUACAAUACACCAAUAAAACAGACCCAUUCGACCCCCUAGCCUCUUACCGAGUCACUCUACGCACAAAUAGAGGCGCCCCUGCUAAAACUAGUAAUAUGAUAUAACUCUCCCCGCAUACCCUUACAUCAACACGGACAAACCAUUGACAGUUAACAGACCAAAAGCGACAUAGAACUACAACUAGAGCAUCUACCACAAACACUGUUACCCCAACACAGGCAUGCACGCAAGAACGAUAAAAAGUCCUAAAAGGAACUCGGCUAACCUCGUCCCACCUGUUUACCAAAAACACGGCCUUUAGCCUCCAACCAGUAUUAAAGGUCCUGCCUGCCCAGUGAACUUCUUUAACGGCCGCGGUAUCAUAACCGUGCAAAGGUAGCGUAAUCACUUGUCUCCUAAAUAGAGACCCGUAUGAAAGGCUAAAUGAGGACGCACCUGUCUCCUUGGACCAGUCAAUGAAACUGAUCUGCCAGUACAAAAGCUGACAUACACACAUAAGACGAGAAGACCCUGUGGAGCUUUUAAACCCAAACACUACCCAACCACACCCAAUCAUCUAAGGACACCACAUGGCCCCACUCACGAUAGUGCCAAUUUUAAGUUGGGGCGACUACGGAAUAUAACAAAACUUCCACGACACAGGCUAAAACCCACCCACGACAGACAAGUCAACGGAAAAUACAAUUGACCCAGUAUACUGACUAACGAACCAAGUUACCCCAGGGAUAACAGCGCUAUCCCCUUCAAGAGUCCAUAUCGCCAAGGGGGCUUACGACCUCGAUGUUGGAUCAGGACACCCAGGCGGUGCAGCCGCUGCCAAAGGUUCGUUUGUUCAACGAUUAAAGUCCUACGUGAUCUGAGUUCAGACCGGAGAAAUCCAGGUCGGUUUCUAUCUAUGCUAUAAUUUCUUCAGUACGAAAGGACCAAUGAAACUAACGCCCAUAUUAAUCCAACACGCGUUACACAACAUCAUGCUGAACUUAUAUAAAGACCACUAACACACUGAACCCUAGACCAGGGAAAUCACU